rnacentral:rRNA from 1 species
AUGGACCUUCUCAUGAGGGCUACCUUGACCUUCCCGAAGGAAGGUUCAUCCAUGGAGCGGCCGCUCAAGCCGCUCCAUCUCCGGCAAGGUGCACCAUCCCUUCUUAUGUUCACCCUUCCGAUGAUGCUCCACGCCACCAUCGUCGUCACACCACUCCGGCCACCAGCACGCAUAGGUUGUUCCCUGUUCCCGUUCCCAACGGGAAUCUCAUGGGAAUGCUCCUCUCUGCCGGAUGCUGAUGGACUCAACCCUCGCGCAUCUGCCGCAACAGUGAGAGCUAGUAGGCAACGGUGGCUCUUUCGCGUCGCAUCCCACGCGGGCGGCUAG